CAGCAGUGGGGAAUAUUGCGCAAUGGGCGAAAGCCUGACGCAGCAACGCCGCGUGAGGGAUGACGGCCUUCGGGUUGUAAACCUCUUUCAGCUCCGACGAAGCCUUCGGGUGACUGUAGGAGCAGAAGAAGCACCGGCUAACUACGUGCCAGCAGCCGCGGUAAUACGUAGGGUGCGAGCGUUGUCCGGAAUUAUUGGGCGUAAAGAGCUCGUAGGCGGCCUGUUGCGUCUGCUGUGAAAGCCCGGGGCUUAACCCCGGGUCUGCAGUGGAUACGGGCAGGCUAGAGUUCGGCAGGGGAGACUGGAAUUCCUGGUGUAGCGGUGAAAUGCGCAGAUAUCAGGAGGAACACCGGUGGCGAAGGCGGGUCUCUGGGCCGAUACUGACGCUGAGGAGCGAAAGCGUGGGGAGCAAACAGGAUUAGA
rnacentral:rRNA from 1 species